CCCGUCCAAGAACAUUUUCUGUCUCUUUGUCGCAGGUCGUCCUCGAAGGAGGGUGUGUGAGUGAGAGAAGUUAUAAUGAAACGCCAGUGCUUUCACAGUUCUGCCAUAUUUGGUCCAGGACUGGUCUAUAGCCAAACUGAAUACUCCUGAAGAAGAUGAACACCGAACUUGAAUAACUUUUAAAGAUAGCAUGUUGCUGCAGAAAGAAGUGCUGCAUUAUCCAAACCAAACAUCCCAGGUCUUGCAGUGACUAAGGAGCUGAUGCCUUACUAGACAACACUGGGACGGUACCAAGAGAACCCAUCUCGGCUGUUUUGAGGUUGGAGAGUAUCCGGACUGUGGUUUCUGAUUCUUACCAGCUGUUAAGCACUUUGAAUCUCUCCUUGUACAUCCAAGAGCCCUACCAUGCCCAGGUCAAAAGAGAUUCCUGAAGAACAACGGAAAAAGGUUAUUGAGGCCUACCAAUCUGGGAAGGGGUAUAAAACGAUUUCUAAAGAUUUGGAACUUCAGCGAACCACAGUCAGAAGCAUCGUUGACAAAUGGAAAAAAUAUGGAACUACAAUGAAUCUUCCUAAGAGUGGCCGUCCUGCCAAAAUCACUCUAGGUGUGAUUAAUAAAAUAAUUCAGGAAGUUAAAGCAAACCCCCAUAAAACGUCUAAAGAUCUGCAGGCUGCCCUUGCCUUGGAUAAAAUCUGUGUUCAUGACUCUACAAUAAGGAGGACCGUCUCUAAAGAGAGGAUUCUUGGGAGUGAAUUGCCACCAAAACCAUCCACCACAAGGGAAUGCACCAAAGAGCCUAAUUAAAUCCAUAUGAUGGUGCAUUUAAUGUGUACAUAUGGACCAACAUGUUUUCUUAGUACUCCAUGUUCUGCCUAAUGUAAAUUGCUUUCAGUUCUUGUGCCUAGUUUCAGCUCACAAGAUUUUGCUGUAUUAUGGUUGUAUUUUAAUAAAAUCUAACUGUACUUUU